rnacentral:rRNA from 1 species
GACGAACGCUGGCGGCGUGCCUAAUACAUGCAAGUCGAACGGUCUUUUCUAUGGAAGCUUGCUUCCGCUGAGAAGAUAGUGGCGAACGGGUGAGUAACACGUGGGUAACCUGCCCAUAAGAGGGGGAUAACAUCCGGAAACGGGUGCUAAUACCGCAUAGUUUUCUUGAUCGCAUGAUUGAGAAAGGAAAGACGGCCUUUGUGCUGUCGCUUAUGGAUGGACCCGCGGCGUAUUAGUUAGUUGGUGAGGUAACGGCUCACCAAGACGAUGAUACGUAGCCGACCUGAGAGGGUGAUCGGCCACAUUGGGACUGAGACACGGCCCAAACUCCUACGGGAGGCAGCAGUAGGGAAUCUUCCGCAAUGGACGAAAGUCUGACGGAGCAACGCCGCGUGAGUGAAGAAGGUUUUCGGAUCGUAAAACUCUGUUGUCAGAGAAGAACAAGUCGGAGAGUAACUGCUCCGGCCUUGACGGUAUCUGACCAGAAAGCCACGGCUAACUACGUGCCAGCCGCCGCGGUAAUAC